rnacentral:rRNA from 1 species
CAGCCAUGCCGCGUGUGUGAAGAAGGUCUUCGGAUUGUAAAGCACUUUUGCUUGGGAGGAAGGGCAGUAGGUUAAUACCUUGUGGGUUUGACGUUACCGACAGAAUAAGCCCCGGCUAACUCUGUGCCAGCAGCCGCGGUAAUA